rnacentral:lncRNA from 1 species
GCAGCAGUAACCCGCUUGGAUCCAGGUUGACAGCACACGUCAGAAACAUUGAGAAGAGGAACAGACCCAAGCAUGAAUGAGGAUUCAUUUUCAUAUCUGGAUCUCCAAGCACUUCAGUUAAAGGUGAAGAGCCGCCUUCUCCCAGGUGUUGCAGUAGAUCAGGAGCUGCACUGUCAGAAGGGAUGGGCACCACGCGGAGACUGUCCACUCCCUGCAGUGCACAGCACGAUGAAGACUUACUGAAUUGCACCUAAACAUAUCAACAACCCACUGAUAAAGCUUGGACAUUUGUCCCCUUCAAACCUCGUGUUGAAAUUUCAUCGCCAAUGUUGGAGCCCAUCUUGGUGAAGACAGCCUGUCUGUCCACAGGGAGAACCAGGAGAAGCCCAAGUGGUCUUGACUCUGACUCGCUCCAGGCGUCUCCUGUUGAUCAAUGCCACAGUCCUCCUCCAGGAAGAAAAUGUGAAGAGUUCAAGCAUCUUUUCUGGAUCAUCCGAGGAAAACAGUUCAAGAUUUCCAAUAAUAGUAAAAACAUCAAA